AGUGAGGGAGUGCGAGGCGGGAGGGGGAGGCGGCGCGGCCGCGGCCUGGGCCCCGCCAGGGCUGCUCUCACGGCGCCUCUCUCUCUCUCUCCCUGCCCGCCCUCGGCGUCUCGGCUCCUCUGUGUCUCUCCUCCCGCCAUGGGACCCGACUCUUCGUGCCCGCCGCAGUGCCCAGCCGGCUGGGGGAAGAUGCCAAAAUGGCGACCGGCAACUACUUUGGAUUCACCCACAGCGGGGCGGCGGCGGCGGCGGCUGCGGCCCAAUAUAGCCAGCAGCCAGCUUCGGGUGUAGCCUAUUCUCAUCCAACUACAGUUGCUAGCUACACUGUCCAUCAGGCUCCAGUAGCUGCUCACACAGUUACUGCUGCCUAUGCACCAGCAGCCGCCACAGUUGCAGUUGCCAGGCCUGCUCCAGUAGCUGUUGCAGCUGCUGCAACAGCUGCUGCUUAUGGAGGCUACCCCACUGCACACACGGCAACUGACUAUGGUUAUACUCAGAGGCAACAAGAAGCACCACCACCACCACCCC
rnacentral:sRNA from 1 species